rnacentral:snRNA from 1 species
GUGCUCGCUUUGGCAGCACAUAUACUAAAAAUUGGAACGAUACAGAGAAGAUUAGCAUGGUCCCUGCGCAAGGAUGACAUGCAAAUUCGUGAAGUAUUCCAUAUUUUU